GGAGUUGUGGCUCAGUGGUAGAGUGCUUGCCUGACAUGCGUGAAACACUGGAUUUGAUCCUCAGCACCA
rnacentral:tRNA from 1 species